rnacentral:rRNA from 1 species
CCCUUAGAUGUUCUGGGCUGCACGCGCGCUACACUGAUGCGCUCAACGAGUUUAUGACCUUGCCCGGAAGGGUUGGGUAAUCUUCUUAAAACGCAUCGUGAUGGGGAUAGAUUAUUGCAAUUAUUAAUCUUCAACGAGGAAUUCCUAGUAAGCGCGAGUCAUCAGCUCGUGCUGAUUACGUCCCUGCCCUUUGUACACACCGCCCGUCGCUCCUACCGAUUGAGUGGUCCGGUGAGGCUUUGGGAUCUGAGCGGAAAGAGCGUUUCGCUGUUUCUGCUCGGAAAACUCAGUCGAACCUUAUCAUUUAGAGGAAGGAGAAGUCGUAACA